AACCCAUGGUGUGGACACUGGUUAGUGUAGCUCCUGAAUAUGCUUCACCAAAACUCUCAUUGCUAUGUUGAUUGAAGCUGGAGAUUUGGUUUCUUAGCUU
rnacentral:snoRNA from 1 species